GUCGCGUUUAAGCAAAUGCAGUUCUCAUCUUCGCUGGCGGUUCCUCUGUGCUGUGUGAGAAAAUUCCCCAAAUUCCUCUUGUUUUCGUUCAUCUCCGUUCCUCUUCUUUGGCACUGUUAGAUUUCGUUGCAUCGUCUGUGGAGAUAUCCGGUGAGUUUACUUCUGCGCUCUUCUCUCUUCUUUGAUUUUCUCACCUUCUGUUAUUUUUAAAUUAUUAUCUCAUCGCAGGUCCUAUUCGAUUAAACUGUAUAAUUGGGGUAAAAUAGUUGGUCGAUGGUUUCUCUCUUUUUUAUAUACUUCACAAUCGCUAGAAUUAAAUUUUCUGUGAUGACUUUACCUGCGAUUUAGGAGCUGUUUGCAUAGUUUCGACUGGUGUACUUCUGAAUUUAGUUAACUUUUCCUUUAUCCUACUGUGGCUAUGAAAAGAAAAUUGAAUUUAUUAUUUGCGCAUACCUUUGAUUUUCUGUUUUAAAGAUCCUUUUCCCGUGGCAAGUUCUACUGGAUUAGUACUGUUUCAACUAGGCAAAGAAGUUGGUCUACAAUUUUUUCCGGUAUGGCGUGGAAUCCAACACUAAAUGGACAUAUAGAAGUCUUAAAAGAGAGUACGGAGGUGAACACUUGAAUUUCUAUUUACCUUUGCAAAGUUAAAGGAACAAGUAGUAAUUAAUUUUUAUUUUUACUCAGUCUCCUCUGAGUACUUUACUGCAAAGCUAGCAGCGCCUAAUCUAUUUUGAUUUGUGUUGCUUUGUUCAUUUGAGGUUUAUACAUUGUUUUCUGUUGGUUAGAGUAGCUGAUUAGAUGACCAUCUUUCUGAAUAUGGUGGCUUUUUAUAUGUUGAUGUCUCAGUUUACGCUCUUUCUUUCUUCGUAUUGUGUUAUCUUACUCUAUUUUUGUGCGGCAUGAGUUCCUCCAGAGAUAUUCAUUGUGCAGAUAUUCUGAAUUGCUCGUUGAUGAGUUUCUCUUGUUAUUUGAUGAAACAAUAUAACUACAAGGUCUCACAGUGACGUGCAAGACGCCUGAAGUACCCACGCUUGCGAAAAAGCACAUUAAUGGAUCAUCAACAAUCAAAAAAGAAUUAUCGCUCAGUGAACGAAGCUCAUGAUAAAAAUAUCAAACACCGUAAAAUAGAUAAUUGUUUAGAAAUGACUCAGAAAGAAGAAAAGUUGUUGCAACGCCCCCUCAAAUAUCGACAGGCAACAACCAAUCGCCUUCUCGCAAAUGCAAAUCAUGUGAAUCUCGAUGGAACGACAUCUCACAUGCAGGAUGAUCUUAAUAUUGGAGUAGCUUUUUCUAUUUCAGAAACAGUAACUGGGCGAGGAAGUUUUUCUUCAUUGGAUUCAUGUGACAAGGAGAAAGAUAUGCUUCAUCCUUUUCAUGUUUUUGAAAAGGUUCAACAUCGGGUACCGCAAAUAAAUCAUGUGCUCCAACCGUUGAAACAGCUGCAACUAACGGCUCGAAAGCGGGUAGUAUGCCUUGCGUUCAAAGAAAGAGGAAUCUUUUGCAUACAUAUACACAGAAGCUCAACAGCUAGCCCUAUUUUACUGCUCCAGUGACAUCUUUUUCACCUUAUCAAAUCUAAGGUAUCAAAAUAGCUUUGACUAUGAUUGUAAUCUACUAGAAACUGCAUUAUUGACAGGAAUUUCAGGUUGCGCAAUGGCAGCAGUUCUUGUAGUAGCCCUUUUAGCGGUUUGCAUGUAUCUUAUAUUUUAUAGAUGCAGGAAAAGGGAGGAAGAAUCGUUUCUUCACUUGGCACCUUACAAACAUAGUAGUAAUGAGCAUGUUCAUGGUAAUCUUUAUGGUUUUGAAUCUUUUGAUGUAUACUUUAGUUACCCAUCAAAUUAUACGGUGAGAGUUUCCAUUGUAUCUUGUUUCUCGUUUCUCUUGCUUUAGGCAUGAGGAAUCACUAUCUUCGUCAUGAGUAUAGUUUGGUUUUCUGUUUCAUGCUGCUAGCCUGCUAAUCUCCUUUGUCUCAAUUGAUAUGCAGAAAGCUGCAAUCAAGAAGAUGAAUAUGCAAGCAACAAAAGAGUUCUUGGCUGAAUUGAAGGUUUUGACCCAUGUUCAUCACUUGAACUUGGUACGUUUGAUAGGAUAUUAUGUUGAAGGAUCUUUGUGCUUUGUCUACGAAUACGUUGACAAUGGAAACCUAAACCAACACUUGCCUGGUUUAGGACACUGUUUCCAUGGUCUACCAUUGGUGCAAAUUGUUCUACAUGCAGCUAGAGUCCUAACCAGUAUAAUCUUUGGUUUUUUGUAUCUUCAGAUUUGUCCCAGGCGCUAUCCUGGCGUAGCCGAAGCCAUCAUAAACCAAACCAAAUGCUUAUAGCACUCUACCAUCUUAAGCCCCGGUCACACAAUUACGGAUUCUGCUGAGGCGCUUGCUUCUAAGUUACCUGAUAAUUAAUCUCAAGGUACUUCCUUAUUCUUUGCCUUAUUAUCUAAAGCACCAUAUCAAGUUAUGUCUACAAAGUUUAACUCUUAUACAAGAACUUUUACUUAGCUCGAACCCCGAAACAAGUUCAAUAAUAAGGGUUAACAAUUGGUAGCGCCUUGAGAUAAAGAAUGAAAGUAACAAAUUCGCGCCAACUUUAUGAUGUACUUCAUAAUGUUGCUUAGUCUUGGAAUGAAUUUCAUCGUGAGCAUAUUGCUAUUCAUUCUUUCUGAGUUUCAUUAUCAAAUCCCUCUUGUUAAUCUUUUAUUUCAUCGACGUUGUUGCUGUUACUUACUGAAUUUUCGAGCUUUGCAUUUUGCCCGAAGAGACUAAAUAUUUAUGGAACCCUUACAAAUUUAUAUUAUUCAUUAAAAAUUAGAUGAACGUAGCCCUAUGUUUGUCUUGAUGUUGCCUGGAUGUGCAGACAUAGACAAACUUUUUGAGCGUAUUUGCUGAUCCUUUUUUCUCUUCAGCUUUAGGUGAUAUAAUUCUUCUUACUGUGUAUAAUGGUGAAUGUCAAACCAACCUAAGUAAAAUUGUUAACUGCUUGUGUACAUGGGUGAAUAUUUAGAGAGAACCAAAUAACAAUGGAGUUCUGCUAAAGAAAAACGGGUGCCCAUAGUAUCAUGAGUUCCCUACUAUGUAUAAGGAGUUCAUUUUAUUCUUCUAUGCAUAUAAAGUUCAUGAAUUGAUCUGAGAAGAUAGCUUUUGAGCUGUAGGCGGGGUUUCGCCUCUAAAAUUUGAAAGCUUUAAAGGAGCCAAUAAGAAUGGAUAAGCUAGACAGAAAGUACACUCUUCUAAUGAGAAUGGAUAAGAAAAAUGAUGGGCGAGUAUUAAGAUAUGAUAGGAAAAGGCAUACAUAACUAUCCAUUCUAGGAACAUUCCUAAUGUUAAUUUGUCGUUGAGGUUAAUGAUUUUGUGUACAUCACUCACAAAACUUACACACGUGUCACGAUCCCAAUUUUCCUCCGUAGGAUGUCGUGAUGACACCUAGUUUUUAAGACUAGAUAAGCCUAACACUUACUGAAUUAAUGGCAAAAUUGACCAACGACUAUUAAAUAUGAAACAGAAAUUUCUAUACAAAGCUAACAAUCCUAAAACCGGUAGUACAAGUCACAAGCUCUAUUGAGUUCACUAGAAAAUCUCUAAGUACAACUGUUCCGAAAUAGAAUUAAACUGUACAAAGAUAACUUCCGAAGGUGACUCCGAGGCCUGCGAACGCGACGGCAGGUAUACCUUGAAGUUUCCACAUCAAUAUAUGAUCCGCUAUCUAACAAUCCACAGACUCUAAGUAUCUGGAUCUGCAUAAAAAUAUGCAAAAGUGUAGUAUGAGUACACCUAUGUCGGCACCCAAUAAGUAUCAAGACUAACCUCGGUGGAGUAGUGACGAGGUAUAAGUCAAGACACUCAGUAGACAAAAUAACCUGUGCAGUAUAGAAGUAUAAAACUAAUAACGGAAAGCGGAAAUCAAUAAAUAGUAACAAGAAUCAGCAACUGAAAUAAACAGUAAAACAAUAAGAACACUGUGAAGAAUCAUUAAAACCAAAUAAGUAACACAAAGGACAACCAAUUAUUCAAGUCGUUUAAACACAAGAUUCACAACGAAAUCACUCCAUGAUACCUCAUAUCAUAAUCACAAGUCAUGGGUCUCAACCCAUCAUCAUGUACUCACGACACCUCGUGCCCACAUCUCGAAUCACAACCGCACGGACAACUCACGUGCCAAUAUCUCAAUCCGUGCGGCAUGAUCACAGGCUCACAAUCACAAUCCGCCCGGCAUGGUCACAGGCUCACAAUCACAACCCGUCCGACAUGGUCACAGGAUCACAAUCACAAUACGCCCGGCAUGGUCACAGGCUCACAAUCACAAUCUGUCCGGCAUGGUCACAUGCUCAAUAUCAACAUGGAAAGAGAUAAAACAAGAACACAUGGGCAUGAUCAAUAAUGCUCAAUAUCAACAUGGAAAGAGAUAAAACAAGAACACAUGGGCAUGAUCAAUAAUGCUCAAUAUCAACAUGGAAAGAGAUAAAACAAGAACACAUGGGCAUGAUCAAUAAACGUCAAAGUUUCAUACUUUUGAGCUAGUAUAGGUGGCAUGCUACAGUGUAUGCUUGUGCGAGUGUACUACUGUAGCCCAAGUUAACAAGUAAUAUUAAAGACAUCGAAUAGCUCAUUGAAACAACAAAGCAAGUCACGUAAGGUGUAUGACAAACACAAGGAAAAGUACACCAUCACACGAAAAUCUCCUACACAAUGUCUCCAACCAUCACACAUCAUCCCUGACAUUUGCCACCCUUAUCUCACCGAUAGCCAUCGCCCUGACAUUAUCAUUAGUCACACCCUUAUCUCUCCUAUAGCCACCAUCACUCCGUAUAAUAGCCAUCCUUAUCGCUCCGCCCUGACAUUAUCAUUAGCCACCCUUACACCCCGCAUAACAAUAACGGUGAAAUGCCACUCUUAUACUCCGCAUAAUAACAACCAAACCACACAACAAUUCACACGUGCUAUCAUCACAACAA